AGUCUGGACCAGACAAUCCAGUGAUUGACAUCAUGAGGAACAAUCCCGACCCGUUAGUCGCCCAUUACGACAAACAUAGUCGCCUUUUUCAGCACGCAUGGGUUGCUGAAGACCUAUUCUACUUGUGAUUGGUACUUAUAUACAUACGUCCAUGUAAACUUGAUGUUAGAAUUAAGUGUCUAUGCACUUGAUUUUCUGAUGUGCAAUUACUCCUCAAAAAUAUUAUUUAUCUGUAUUAAAAAUGUUUCAGUGUAUCCAUUGUGUUUAUAAUGUCGUGGGUUUUUCUUCCACGCGCUACUUUCACAUUGCGGGUUUAGGAUUGACAUGUACCGAGUACAGUACGGCACAAGUAUUUUUACCUGUGGUUAAACAAGUUCGAUGUACUUUGUUAUUAUUACACAAAACACAAACACAUGAGUGUAUAAACAGGAGUUUAUUAGUCAGGCACAGAGUCCAUUGAUGUUUAAAAAUAAUUGUAGAUAUGCAGGGAUAUAUGAAUGGAGAACAUAUAUAUCGAACAUGAAAAAGAUUGAUAAAUAAUGAUUAAAACAGUCGAACACCAAUGUGUUGAAGUUGCCUACGUAAAUACUUCGAGUUAUCCGAGGUUCGACACAAGCGGCAUACACCGAUUGGUAUGAGAAUGAAUAACACGAAACAUAUGUGACAUCAAACGACGAGGAAAUAAAAUUGUUUGAAUAAAUGUAGACAAACAGAGAGGCGAGAUCGACUAAAAGAGUAUAAUUGUGCUGGAAGUACGUUUGGGACUGACAACAGACUUCGAGACAACCCUAUCUUCUAAUUCAUCAGUUUCGACACAUCAGAGGUUAAAUAAUGGCGAGUAAAGACGGAACACACAGGGACAAUGCUCUGCCUUCGAGACAACCGUAAUUACGACACUUCAAAGUUCGACACAACGGUGUUUGACUGUAUAUAGCGCGAUCAUAAUCUGCAUACGACAAUUUGCAAGCGAUUGUUUAAUAUUCGCAUUUUAUUCAUUGCCCUAGUAGGCAUAUACACACGAUACAGUAUAUGUUAACUAUUCAGACGUAAAUCUACUGCUAUUCACUUGUCGUGAUGUUGUAUUUGGUUAAAACCAAAGAGAAUUUAUACAUGCUUAAUGACUCUGUAACGCUGGCUCAAGUACUAGAAAUUAAAGGGAGCAGUUCAAAUUUGCACUAUGCAUACAAUUUCAGACUGA